AUCGGUGCGGAGAGCUCUGCAGGCGGCCAGCAGCGGCGUCUCUCCUCUCUGGUUCCUCUCGUUGACCUGAGCGCCUCCUUCCACCAGCAGACGAACUAAGCGCAGUUUGCCCAGCUGAGCGGCGGUGAUGAGCGGACUCCCGUCCAUCAGAUUUGGCUGAGAUGAUCGUCUGACACGAGCUGCAGCUGCUGAAAUGAAGAGAGAAACAGUGAACAAGACCAAUGUGUUUGUGUAGGUGAAGCAUCAGUUUCACCCUGACGUGUGUGUGUGUGUGUGUGUGUGUGUGUGUGCAUGACUGGAUGAACACACACAUCAAGCAUACCUUUAGUCAUUCACCUUCAGAGUAUCAGGCUUUAUUGGGCACUUUUGGCCCUCUAGCGGUUAAAAAACAAAACUGCAUGUAUUUUGCAGAAGAACAUUGUUCUGGUUGUUUUCAGUUCUGCGUGACUGCUGAUGAAUAUGACUCUCCUGCUGCUCAUAAAACUCAUAAAACUACUAUCCUACUGCUCGAGAACCAGCUCUGAAAUAUAAACACUUAUAAUAGGCUUACCAUAGUGAAUCAGGGUAAGACAAAAACAUGUUUUGGAAGGAUUGGGGAUGUAUUGAUUCAUUAUUUAAACUGUGUUCAUUUUGAGCAAAAAGUACAUAGUGUACUUUUAAUAAAUCAUAUCUAAAUAAAUCUUACUACAGAUCUUACAGCAGAUUAAAUAUAGGAUACAGAUGAUUUCCAGACUUUGUGUUCAGUAAGUUUAUUCAUGUAUGUUUAUGAAUAAAUUCUACAACAUA